UAGCAGGUUGUAUAGCUCUCAUUAACUUGGGAUUCAUGGCAUUUGAACUUGGAGUCUACAAGUAUUUAUGCGAUGGAUGGCAUAAACUCUCUGUUGUUUAUUGAGCAUUUGCAUUAUGUACCGUUGAUUUCAUAGACUCCCGCCAUAAUCUUUGGAAUGGAUGUUUCUCAUGAUGGUAUGUUGUCUGGUCGUUGCCGAUUGUAGGCGCCUCUGUUGAGCCACCUUACGUGAGCUUUCUUUGCCCUGUUUUCGGGCCAUGAUGGUGAUGUUUGUUCACCUAUUUUACCCCGGGUUACAUUGCCUGAUGGGACUGUGAAGGAAUGGAGGAAAUGGGAAACAACUCAUUUCGACAUAACGAAGGAGUUAUCGAAUAGUUUGUCUUCAAAUGCUUUGAUUUCUCAGGUGGAUGGUGUGCUGUGGCACAUGUCAUGGCAUUUGGAAGGUGGGUGUCAUGUCAGCUCAAGAUAUUCACUUUUGAUAGUGAUGAGGGUCGCGAUACGUGUUGGCAUUCGAGUGCUCAUAUUCUUGGACAGGUUCUGGAACAAACAUAUGGAUGGAAGUUGUGUAUUGGGACGUGUACCAUAGGAGGAGAGGUAUGUUUUUAGUGUUUUGUUCUCUUUACUUCAAGGUUCUUUAGUUGUUAGGGUUGUAGUAAGAUUUGAUAUUGUAUAGUGGAGAUCAAUUUCUCCUGGCUUGUGUGUGUUGCAUUCCACUAAUAUAUGUUGUAGUUGGAAAAUAAAUAAUAUGUUGGAUGGUGUUUUAUAGCUAUCGGGUCAGAUUUUUAAAUAUCUAUGCAAUAGUUUAAUAAAAAUAUCAUUUUUAGCUACCGGGUUACAAAAUUGAUUGUUGGACUUGGAGUUGGUGUCCCAUGGAUUACGUGGCAGCAAAUUGAUACUCUACAAUACAUUGUCCCUUCCUACUAUGUUGGCUUUCCUUUCGAUAAAAGCUAUUCAGAGUUAGAAGUGACACUCUUGACAUGUUCACAUAUGAAUCGGUUGAUUCGUGUUUUAUGUCUAAGGACUAACGGGUUAAAUGGGUAAAUAAAAGUUCAGCUCAAAAACAGAAAAUGAUAAUGUUAAAAAUGGUCAAAAGUGUCCCUGAGUAUAUGUUUAAUGCAAAUAUAUCCUACAUAACUUAUUCAAGAAAUAUAUAUUUUUUUCAUUUAAAUGCAUUACUUUUGUAAUCAUAUUUGAUACACGGGUUGUUUAUACGAAGACUUUAGGUUUGGACAAACUAUGUAUCGGGUCAAACCUGAUCCGUUUCAACCCAUAAAAAAUUACCCCUAUUGACCGGUAACCAAACUCUAUUGAGACGGAACCUAAUUUGAUAACUUGAUUUUGUUUGGACAUGGGUUUGUUAUUGCAAAUGGAUACUAUCAACUCAUUUAUCUGGCGAUUGCUAAGGAGUUUGAAAGCGUGAGAGCUGGUACACCUAUGGCGCUUUUGAUAUGUCAAGAUACGGGCUUGAUGUUCCAUCACAGAAUGAUGAAACUGCUUGGAAGAGCCACUUCGUAAAUCUCAAUGCUUACUUCAACAUCAAGUUAUCGGGUAACAUUCAGUUUUGACUUUCUGAUAAUGGUAUUAUUGCUCCAUGUCUUAUUCUAUACAUUUUUAUCUUAUGCGUUCUUAUAGAAAAUUUGUAACAUUCA